rnacentral:tRNA from 1 species
GUGGCUGUAUUAUAGUGGUUAGUACCCCACGUUGUGGCCGUGGAGACCUAGGUUCAAUACUCAGCAGCCACA